rnacentral:rRNA from 1 species
GACGAACGCUGGCGGCGUGCUUAACACAUGCAAGUCGAACGGAAAGGCCCCCAUCUUGGUGGGGGUGCUCGAGUGGCGAACGGGUGAGUAACACGUGGGUGAUCUGCCCUGUACUUCGGGAUAAGCUUGGGAAACUGGGUCUAAUACCGGAUAGGACCAUGGUUUAGUGUCUCAUGGUGGAAAGAUUAUUGUUUUGGUGCAGGAUGAGCUCGCGGCCUAUCAGCUUGUUGGUGGGGUAAUGGCCUACCAAGGCGUCGACGGGUAGCCGGCCUGAGAGGGUGGACGGCCACAUUGGGACUGAGAUACGGCCCAGACUCCUACGGGAGGCAGCAGUGGGGAAUAUGGCACAAUGGGCGCAAGCCUGAUGCAGCGACGCCGCGUGGGGGAUGACGGCCGUCGGGUUGUAAACUCCUUUCGUUAGGGACGAAGCCGCACUUUUUUUGGGUGUGGUGACGGUACCUUUGUUAAGAAGCACCGGCUAACUACGUG